GUUAUCGACCUACUAAAAGCCAUGUAUACACCCUCGCAGAACACGCGAAAGUUGCAAAAGCCAAGAAGCAUUUGACUUAAUUAGCGUCCUGCUUGCUUCAUUUUCUUCAGAUUUUAAAGCAGCGAUAUGAUUGAACUUCGUGCUUUUGACCUAAGAGUGCAAGACUAAGAAAGCACAAGAGAGGGGAAAAGA